CUGGUGAACAACUAUUGGUAUAGGGCACAUUACCCCGGGCCGCAACUGAUAACCUGACUGACCACAUCGAGUCUCUAGGACUGCUCAUUCAGGUCUUCAGUGCGACCUGAAUGAGCAGUGAUUGCGCUUCACGUGGUGAAGUGUUGUCCAUCGGACAGCACUUCCCUGCCAGUAUAUAAUUAUUUAUUGCAUUUCUUCACAUAAGUAGGUUACAAAUCUAUGAGUAACGUGCUAACUAUAUACAGGAAUAUUCAUUUUUCUAAUUAACUGUCCUUACAACACGCCAUAUUGUAGAGACGCAGAUCGGUGUACAUGAUUUUUGGGAGGUGGGUGGGUUUUUUAAAUUUCCACUUCUUUGCC